CACAAUGUUCUCAUCCCUCCCUGUCACUGUCACCAGCAUCAACUCAGUGAAAAGACUCCUACUCCCUGAGAGCAUGGCUACUUAAAGGGAUCCACAAUCCGCGUGCCAUAGCUGGUGCUAAGGACCCAGCUGGUGGGAAAAUCGUGUCUGCCCUUCAGGACCUCCUGGUCCAGCUGAAGCAGGAAGGAGACUCCAGCAAACAGCCACAGGAUGGCCCAACACGCCCCACGCCCACUGCAGGCACUGGGAAAGAGCAAUUGGGACGUUCACUGGGGUGUGCUCGCUCCAUGCCACCCUCUUGGAGACACUUGGGUGAGCCUUGAGUUCAUGCAGAGCUCUGGGCCACGAUUCGUCAGCUCCAGGGCUUUGAGAAUGUUGCUUCACUCCCUGCCAGUUUCCCCAUCGGUAAAAUAUCAUGGUGAGUCAGUUCCCUCCGAGGGCGACUGGGAGGCAUGGUGGAGUAAUGUGGGGAAGGCAGUUAAAGAACCUAAUAAUCUGCACAAUAAACAAUGCGGUCCUUCUCGUUAUUUGAAUCGAACAACUGCUGGAACUGUGGAGCUGGACAGGGCGCUUGCAGUUUCCGGGAUCUCAGGUAACUUUUGAAAAGUAGAGCAAAAACUCAACACCAGCAGCAGCGGCCGCGGUCCGGUGCUCCUAAGACCUUUACCACAGGACUCUCAACUCAACUCCACUCUGCCCCUCCUCUUGACCACUCCUGCCAGAGAGUAGGUGGGACAGCUGGGGCUGCCAAUGGCUCAGCUUCGCCAACGCUGGGAUUUCAGGUGUGAGUAACCAACACUUCUGGCUCUGGGGUUUUUAAGGAGAGUUGGAGGGAAGGAAAGAAAGCCUAGCCCCUAUUGCUGAGUGCUGAGACUGAUGGAGACGGGUCCUGGGCUCUUAACUAAACUCAGGCUAAGAUGUCCAGAGCCGAAGGGCACAUCAGUCUUUUCCUUGACACUUUUGAUUGAGCCUGUUCCAGAACGGGCACGCCCCGGAUGGUGCGCACAUACUAUCUAUCAUCUGAAGUCUCUGUACCUCCAUCGUUAGCCCAAAAAAAUAAUCACUCUACUAUGAACUGCAUAAAGGUCUGUCCUUUUUUUUCCCCACAGUGUAAAAAGUGUCAAGAUUUCCCAGGUCUCCGAGGAGGACCAAGUGUAAGGUUACUAACCCUGCUGUAAUGCUACCCCGGCCCUUCGCCUUAUGGUCAGUGACUCAGAAGGAUCUCAAAACCUCAAGCGAAUGGGAGGGCUUCGGGGCACCCGCGGGCUGGAAUGCGCCUCCUUUUGGGCUUCGGUUUUCAAGCGUGAGAACGCCGGGUGACGUCAGGGCCCAGGUGUUUCGGGGAGCGCGCGCUCCGGGGAGCGGACUCUCGGGACAGAGAGGGGCAGCCCCAGGGCUCGCUCCGGCGUGCGCUCCGGGACGCCCCGCGCCGCGCUGACUUACCCAGAAGUUCCCCUUGAACAGCGAGCCCGUCAUGCCGGCGCUGGGUUGUGAGCGCAGGGCUGGGAGCGGAGGACGGAAGGCGGCUGAGGACGGCGGACAGCGGGAGGACAGCGGGAGGACGGCCGGAUCGCGCCGAGAGCUCAGACUGUCAGGGCCAAGGUCCAGCGCAACUUUGGAGUUCCACUGUCACCCCGGGAAGCCGCCCCGGGUCCUAAACCACGCCCGAUUGCGCCGCCCCGCGCCCCGCCUGCCUGCCCGCCCGCUUGCCCGCUUCGCGCACCUGCAGAGGGCCACCCGCCCUGACCCUAGGGCGCGGCCGGUCCAGCAGCUCUGCGGAGGGCGGUGGCCAGUCCAAACCACAGCCUGCCGGACGUCUGAACGACUGAGAGAACCGGUCCUUCUCCCUUCGGCUGCCCACUGGACUCUUCCCAUCAAGCCCUCCCGACCUAGAAAUUCAGACUGUGAAUCAGUAGAAACCCUAGGAGAUGCCUUCGCCUAUGCUGCUAUCGCUACAAGGAAUGGAGUGCACACACCGCCCCGGAGGGGAUUGCAGGCUUUAGUCUAAAAUGCCAAUUCAAAUGCGUUAUCCAUGUUUCCUUUUAACUUUGCAUAUCUUAAUCUGAACUCAGUUAAGGUUUCUUCACCACCUGUCUCACCUAGCAGUAGAAGCCAGGCUGCUUUCUGCUCCCUCUCUUGUGAGCUUCAACUCUUUUCAGAGAGAAAACCGGAGACUCACACCUGUAAUCCCAGUACUGAGGAAGCUGAGACAGAAGACUGAGUUUAAGCCCAGCCUGGGCUACAGUGUGAGGUCUUUCCUAAUAAGCAGACAAACCAAAUAGGACUCCAGGGCGCAUCAAACUCCUUCUUGUUUGGAAAUAGACAAAGUACUUGUUCUAUGUGCCCAGUGUCCAGCCGGAAACUCAAGAUAGCUGAAAGAUUGCUCAGAUUCACAGUUAUGUAGGGGAUGGAGAGACCAAAGCUAGAAGUCUGUCCUUCCUAACAGGGCCAGUGUCUUUCUGGGUAAGAAGUGUUCAUAGGGAAGAAAAUGAAAGUUAAGUUGCCAAGACUGGCAUCGAGCUAGUUCUCCGUUAUGCCAAAGCAAGCAUUCACCUGUGCAGCAGAUUCUAGUUAGAUCCCGGCACAGCACGUGACAAUCGUGGAAUGAGUAGAAGAGCUCACAAGAUUUCUGCUCAGUAACUCUACUCCCGAGCCCUAUAUCAUCUGUAACGACAGGGAUUCGCGAGAGCACCCAGCCCUGUUACUCUCCAAGGACAUGCAUUCACCAACCCGGUUCUUCACUGAGGUUAGGGCCACUGGCUGAUUUUCCAGAGGACUUGGGUUCAAUUCCCAGCAUGGCAGCUAACAGCAAUCCCUAACUCCAGAGCCAAGGAAUCUGACACCCACUUAGUAUGUUUUUCCUAACAAGGCCAUGCAGGUGGUGCACAGACAUACAAGCCUGCAAAGCACCCAUACACGUAAAAUAUAUAUAAU
rnacentral:lncRNA from 1 species